rnacentral:rRNA from 1 species
GUGCCAGCAGCCGCGGUAAUACGUAGGCAGCGAGCGUUGUUCGGAAUUACUGGGCGUAAAGAGUGUGUAGGCGGUUUUCCAAGUUUGGUGUGAAAUCUCCCGGCUUAACUGGGAGGGUGCGCCGAAAACUGGGAGGCUUGAGUGCCGGAGAGGAUAGCGGAAUUCCUGGUGUAGCGGUGAAAUGCGUAGAUAUCAGGAGGAACACCUGCGGUGUAGACGGCUAUCUGGACGGCCACUGACGCUGAGACACGAAAGCGUGGGUAGCAAACAGGAUUAGAUACCCCUGUAGUCC